rnacentral:tRNA from 1 species
AAGGCACUAGUAACAAAAAUUACACUGCCUUGUCAAGGCAGAGUUGUAGGUUAAACCCCUGCGUGUCUUA